AGGAAAGAGAGUGGAUAGAUAUUAACUAACAUUUUGUAAAAUAUGUAUUAAGAAUAACAGUAUGAAGGUACAAGUCACAAAGUGAUAUGCUCUGUCAUCAUAUAGGUCUCCUCUUGGCACAAACAUAUAACUAUCAUUAGUGCUAAUGUGAGUUAUAUGUCUGCAUUAGUUGGAGGUUCUCUUUCAUAUUCAAGAUUUAAUAAACAGUAUUCCAUCAGGGGUUCUUGUCUUUGAAAUAAUACAAACUAGAUACUUUGCAACAAAUAUUAAUCUCAUAUAUGGUGAGAAAAUAUUCAACAAUGAAAAUAAACUUAGAUAAGCCAGCUAGACAUCUUUCAGCUUAAACAUAAAUUAAGUCUAUUUGUCACAUCAAUCAGAAUGCAGCCACUUGCUCAUGCUACAUUGGGCAACUUCUCUCCACUACACCAAAACCCAACAAGCAAAUUGAUAUAAUCUACAUUACCCAUUUGAUAAAACAGAAAUAACACGGUUGAUACCUGAAUUCUGCUCUGUUUUGUAUUGACAUUUCUCUAGCAGCAGAAAAAACUACAUCCUGUGGCAGUGUCCUAUAUCAGUGAAACUAUGAAUACUGGAAUACUGAAUUUCAAGUUGGCUCCUGGAUGAGUAACCUUACUGAUUGUUACUGUUACUAUCAUUCAUGUUACUGAAGACAUUAAGAGUGGGAACAGCAAGGAGCAUGCUGCACAGUCCACCGGCUCCACCAGCUGUCUAGCUGGUACAAAUCCUCACGUGAAAAUGGACUAGGGAUGACAUGUUCAAGGAGCAAAUGCAAUCCACCCACUUGGACAGGGAGCGCUUAAGCAAGUGGAGGACUAUGGUGCUGCUGGAGAUGAGAACGUAGUGUGAGGACAGGAAAACAUGAAGGGAGCUGGAAGUGAACAAACAGAGUCUUGGAGACAUAGUGGAUGUGAUGAACCGCACAGUGGCUUUCAAGGACAGUUUCAUGCACAGGCCCCCCCUCCAGCACUUGUGGGUCCAUAGUACUUUCUCACCAAGUUCCAUAGCUUCCUCUCCCAGGAGCUGUAUAAUGCAGCAGAGGGGAGAGUCAAGGACAGCCUCACACUCAACCUCCAGGGAUGCAUCCCAAAGCAAAAGGCUGUCCUUCUCACAAUUGUGAUCACCCCUCCCUGCACAAGCUCUUGCCAUGAGUUCCUUAUCUGUCCCUGCUGUGUUCCUUAAAUAAAAAACAUGAUUUCUGAACAGUCUGUUUAUUGCUCGCAUUGUGGGGGAGGUAGUAGGGAGAGGUGGCUUACAGGCAAGCACACUGAAUGCAGGGGCACCUUAUCAUUAGCAACAUGCAUGACACUCAAAUCUGGCUUAUCAUAAAACUGUCUUUCAAAGCCUCUCUGAUUGCAGUGCCCCUCAUUAUGCUCUCCUUACUGGCCUGGUGUCUGGCUGCUCAUAAUUACGUUAGGCACUAUGCCUUGACCCCCACCAUAUAACUUUCCUACUCCAGUGAGUAAGAAAUCAUAGGAUACUAGAAUUGAAAGGGAUCUCGAGAGAUCAUCAAGU